rnacentral:rRNA from 1 species
AGUGAACGCUGGCGGCAUGCUUUACACAUGCAAGUCGAACGGUAACACGGAGCUUGCUCCGCUGUCGAGUUGCGAACGGGUGAGUAAUAUAUCGGAACGUACCCAAGAGCGGGGGCUAACGUAGCGACAGUUACGCUAAUACCCCAUACGAUCAUAGGAUGAACGCAGGGGAGCUUCGGACCUUGUGCUCUUGGACGGGCCGAUAUCUGAUUAGCUAGUUGGUGAGGUAAAGGCUCACCAAGGCGACGAUCAGUAGCUGGUCUGAGAGGACGACCAGCCACACUGGAACUGAGACACGGUCCAGACUCCUACGGGAGGCAGCAGUGGGGAAUUUUGGACAAUGGGCGCAAGCCUGAUCCAGCAAUGCCGCGUGAGUGAAGAAGGCCUUCGGGUUGUAAAGCUCUUUUGUCAGGGAAGAAACGGGAUUGGCUAAUAUCCAGUCCUAAUGACGGUACCUGAAGAAUAAGCACCGGCUAACUACGUG